rnacentral:lncRNA from 1 species
CACAGGGACACUGCUGUGUCCUCACUUGGGAGGGAGGCUCGGCUCGAACUGAGUCUCCAUGGCUUCCUGUGUGGGCAGACCUGCUGCUCCAGGUGAGGGGUGCCCUCGGCAAGGACGGUCCUGUUGCCCCUGCCUGUCCCCUGGGCACUGACAAUGGCACUACAGUACUGCUGGGCUGAUGCCUGAGAGCCUGGGUAUGGGCUUGGAGCCAAAGGCCCUCUCUCACUGACAGCCAGACCUCCCUUUACCUCUCUGCACCCCAUGCUCCUCAUCUGGACAGCGUGGGUGACAGGGAUAGAAUCUGCCAUGUGCGUACGAGUUUGUGAGGACCAAUUGGUGUCCUAUGUGCAAAGGGACCCAGAACAGAGCCAGCACCAGUGCCACUUGGUGAGCAGGACAAUGUUGGGUUGUGCUUCUUUCUCAUUUUAUUAGUGAAUGAUAAAUAUUUACUAAAUGUGCCAGGUGCAAUGGCACAUGCCAGGAAUUCCAGCACUUGGGAGGCUGAGGCAGGAGGACUGCCACAAGUUUGAGGCCAGCCUGGGCUGCAUAGUGAGUUCAAGACCAGCCAGAAUUAAAUAACGAAACCCUGCCUCUUUGGUUCUCUUUCUAUUACUUUUGGUUAUUUUUCCAAGUGGACCUAGUUCCUGAGGAGUCAAGUGUCCACAGCCCAGCUCUCAGGACAAAGAAUACUAAUACAAAUCUAGCUAGAGUGACUUCUAGUUGCCUGUCCCAUGUCCAUUUUCCUCUGCUUCCUGUAUUUCAAAAAUAACUUUUAUGUUGUCAAGGAUAGCAAUGUUUCCCAUUAAAAACUGGGUUUCUCAUGCUCCUUUACAGAUAGGGUGGUCAAUGAAAGAUUUAGGCUGAAAGGGUUUGCUGGAGAUUCUGAUAAAACUCUUUAAGUGAAACAAGCAUUUAAGAGAUGUAAUUAACCAUUUGUCCACCACUUCCUUUAUGUCUCCUGCCUGAAAUGAGAGGUCACAGCUGAAGCUCCAGCAGCCUUAUUGAAGCCAUUAGACAAGUUGGAGGAAGGAUGCUGGUGCUAAAGAUGGCGGAGCAGGCAGAUGGCAAUAGACCUUUGGGAAAGCAGCCAUUUUUCCUGGAGAUUUGACUGUUUUUGCCUGUUGAUUUGUCUGGAUGGUGCAGAGGGAGACAAGCAAAGUGGGGAGCAGGAAGAGGAGAGGACCUUGGAGUGUGCAGUCUCCACCUCCUUCCCAUCCUUAAUGAACCAGAUCUUUCCAAGGAGACUACCAAGCUGAGGAUCUGGAGAAGCUACAAGCUGUAUUGGUGGCAUGUACUUAUGAAUGCUGCGAGACAAAGCCUUCAGAGCUGGCCCCAGAUGUGAGGCGGUGUUACCAGUGAACAUGGAUGUGGCGCCACAGCAAGGACAGCUGAGGCGGGGCAGGACCUUCUCCACUGUCCCCACUCUGGACUCUGCAAGCACCGUAUCUGGCCAGAGACAAAGUGGCUGGUAUCUGACUGGGUACUCAGCCACCAGCCUGCUGCAUCUGGCUGUCCCUGGGAAGAAAGGAG